AUUGAACGCUGGCGGCAUGCUUUACACAUGCAAGUCGAACGGUAACAGGCCGCAAGGUGCUGACGAGUGGCGAACGGGUGGGUAAUGCAUCGGAACGUGCCCAGUCGUGGGGGAUAACGCAGCGAAAGCUGCGCUAAUACCGCAUACGAACUAUGGAUGAAAGCGGGGGACCGUAAGGCCUCGCGCGAUUGGAGCGGCCGGUGUCAGAUUACGUAGUUGGUGGGGUAAAGGCUCACCAAGCCAACGAUCUGGAGCUGUCUGAGAGGACGACCAGCCACACUGGGACUGAGACACGGCCCAGACUCCUACGGGAGGCAGCAGUGGGGAAUUUUGGACAAUGGGCGCAAGCCUGAUCCAGCAAUGCCGCGCGCAGGAAGAAGGCCUUCGGGUUGUAAACUGCUUUUGUACGGAGCGAAAAGGCUCCCUCUAAUACAGGGGGCUCAUGACGGUACCGUAAGAAUAAGCACCGGCUAACUACGUGCCAGCCGCCGCCGUAAUAC
rnacentral:rRNA from 1 species